rnacentral:rRNA from 1 species
UACGGGGGGGGGCAAGCGUUGUUCGGAAUUACUGGGCGUAAAGGGCUCGUAGGUGGCCAACUAAGUCGGACGUGAAAUCCCUCGGCUUAACCGGGGAACUGCGUCCGAUACUGGAUGGCUUGAGUUUGGGAGAGGGAUGCGGAAUUCCAGGUGUAGCGGUGAAAUGCGUAGAUAUCUGGAGGAACACCGGUGGCGAAGGCGGCAUCCUGGACCAACACUGACACUGAGGAGCGAAAGCCAGGGGA